UGGGCCCUCUUCAGGUGCUGCAGAGAUUGGUGAGAAACCAGAAGUUCACAAUCAGUAAUGUCAAAAGAAGCUUUGAGAAGCUGGGAGAGGCUGUGGAAAAAAGUGCCCUCCAAUGAUUGGACCCAGCUGGAAGCCAGAGCAAAGAAGCCUGUAGAAGCUGUUCAAAGUGGUUCAUUCUCUGGGGCACAGAGCAGGGAGAAAAAUGUUUUUGUUUGCAGGAAAUGAGAGGGAUCCUCUGAUUACCAAAUUUACUCUCAACAGGCGUUGGUCCCCAUGUGGAGCAAAAGGCAUCAGUAACCCCAAUCCAGCUUUUUCUCGACAGACUUCUAACUCAAACAGCACUGUGGCCUAUUUCUGCAGGGUGAUAUGCUGGAUAGCCUCCUGUCAAUUUAGCAUCAACUUUAGCUUCUUCAAAUGCAGAGACUACAUUUCCCAGAAUCUCCCUCCC